rnacentral:lncRNA from 1 species
AAAUAGUAACUUGAUGUUAUAAAGGAGUGAAUAUGUAGUCCUCACUCCCAUGAUACAAACCAGACAACUAUUACUCAAGACUUCUUGGUAGAUUUAUGACAGACAACAGAAGCUACAAAAAUAGAGCAAACGACAACUCAAGUUCUGAACGGUGCGGAAACAAUGCUUCAAGGCAACCUUGCUCGGAAUUUAUCUCAAAUCUAUCAGACUUCUAAUUUCUACCAGGCCUGUUUAGGUUCACCAUGCGUCCAUUGCCAUCCCCUCUAGACGAGGAACCAGACUGGUUGCGAGCCCUUCCAUCCUGGAACCGAGAACCACCACCAUAGCCCCCACGGGAACCCUGGCCACCCCUGUCAUUUUGGUACCCACCGCCCUGCCCAGAGCCUCCUCUACCAGCAUAACCAGACCUCCCACCGCCGCGGCGGCCGCCUUGUGACGACACAAAGUUCUCCUGCCACUUUCCCAUAUUGGACGAGUCUUGAUCACCCCUGCGCCUGGGUGGUGCACCCUCAAGGGCACCACCAGUCCUGGCUUCAUACGCCCUCUCGUUGCUCUCCACAAGGACAGAGAGCCUAUCAGUCAUCUGGAAGAUUAGUCCCUGCAGCCUGGUUUGAUCCACGUUCUGGAAUACAAUGCACUUGGUUGGCUGGUCCCAGCUUGCAUGAAGCUCAUCGUGCAUCAUCAUCUUGCUAACAACGCUGUGAGCGUGUGCCUCGCUGAGGUCAAACAUAGUGGUGAGCUGGUCAAGGCUCAGGGACUCGUAGCAAGACGAGUAAGAGAAGAGAUAGGUUCUAAGAGCCUCUUCCUUGAUUUUAAGCUUCAGCAUCUCAAGGAUAUGCUCCUUAUUCCUCAAAAGUUUCCAGGUAUCCAGAGAACUGAUGACACUGAAAGCCUUUUCAUGGUCACCCUUAUUGAGGGCCCUCGUGGCAGCCAUUACAUGAUCCCUCACCGUUUCUGGAGGUCCAACAAAAGUCUGUCUCUCACUCAUUUCAAGAAGCCUGCGGAAUGUUUUGCUCAUAGGCCUCCGCUUGUCAUAAGUACUGGAAGCCAUAUACGGGACCUCAAUUAGCAUUGCACAGAUCAAAUGUGUGGCUUCCAA